GCGAAAGUGGCGGAAUUGGUAGACGCACUGGAUUUAGGUUCCAGCGCCUUAUGGCGUGGGGGUUCGAGUCCCCCCUUUCGCACCA
rnacentral:tRNA from 1 species